rnacentral:rRNA from 1 species
UACGUAGGGUGCAAGCGUUUGUCCGGAAUUAUUGGGCGUAAAGAGCUCGUAGGCGGCUUGUCGCGUCGUCCGUGAAAACUUGGGGCUCAACCCCAAGCUUGCGGUCGAUACGGGCAGGCUCGAGUUCGGUAGGGGAGACUGGAAUUCCUGGUGUAGCGGUGAAAUGCGCAGAUAUCAGGAGGAACACCGGUGGCGAAGGCGGGUCUCUGGGCCGAUACUGACGUGAGGAGCGAAAGCGUGGGGAGCGAACAGG